AUGGUGAAGUACCCAUAUUGGCUACGCAUAGGCACUGAUUACGCGUACCGUUCUCGUGCUAAUUGCAAUGUAAGUACAGUAGCUCAUCUUCUGGGAAAAUCCUUGAUUGAAUUUGAAGGGAACAAAUCAAUGUCAAUCGAUGAUGUUGGUGAAGAGGAGGUUGUUGUAGAAGCUUCUGGAAUGGGGAAGAGGAGUAAUGGGGGUCCAUGUUUGGAAAAUGCGCAACUGUAA